rnacentral:lncRNA from 1 species
GUUGACAAUGACCAUUGUUUACAGCGUCGAGGCACAGGCAAUGUCGACACGGCCUUGUCCUGCAAAGGACGAUGUGUCCAGCGUGGUGACCUGCUGUGGAUUUACCUCCACCUUCAUACUUUACCACCCGCAGCCACAAGUCCUGUAGACACUCUGCUGCUUGCCAUGCAACCGUCUAGUCUCACACCAUUUGCAGUGGAAGUGAUCACUGUGCAGACAUUUCAUUGUUUCUAGAGAUGAUGGUUGUCAUUGUGGGUGGUACAGAGACAGUUUCUUGGAGCAUCAGGUGACAGGCACAUGAUGUACACAAGUCCAGUCUGUCAUUGUCAUUAUUGGCAAAGUCUUGUGUUCACACCGACUGCCAUGUUUUCAUCUUUGUCUUUUCUUAAUAAACGUUUGCAUCUUUGAUCUUGUCCAGAAGAAUUCUUCGUAAAUCAGUUGUUGAUAAAUUGUACUUUAAAAAGUCAGUCUAUUCUCUAAAAUAAAUACACACAUCAUUUUUCCAGAGUGAAAUGCUGACUAAAAUAUGAACUGCUUACUUGCACAUUUCUUAGCAUCUCAAGAACUACACAACCAUUACAGACAUACAGGAGCAGUCAAGCAACCAAUGAACGCUGGCUCACAGUAACCUGCUACAACAUACAAACACCACGCGCACAUGAUGGACAAGUGUAAUAAAUAAAUAAACACCAUUCAACGAACACGUUAAGAAUCAAGUGUGAAACCUACAGUCAACUAACUAAACUAAAAAACAUUGAAAUCACUAUUCAUUAUUAAAUAAGAUAAAAGUGUCACGAUGUGUGAUACCGGGUAUCAAUGGGCAACGGUGAGUUUUGUGUAACCAGUAAAGUUUUCAGAGAGUAUUUAAACAUUUUGAUGACAUAAGGAAUCGAGUUCCACUCUUUUAAGUACACUUAGAACUUUAACUUACUUCCGUCUGAGAGUAAUGAGAGGUGCCUCCACUUCUACCUCCCUGCUGAAUGCCAAAGACAAUAGAAAGUGGAGUCCCAGACAUGUUUAAGAUGAUGUCGGUCCACUCUGCGCUGUGGUCCUCCUCCUGUACUGGACUAGAAGCAUCAUUUUCUGCUUGCACGACGAGGUCUUAACCCGAGGAUAACAAACUGCAAUCAGUAAUGAUCAGCAUCAGCCACUGAGAUACUUUGUGUUCAAAACUGAUUCCACGUAACCAAAUAAGUAUACAAUAAAUGUUUAUUAUAUAUUUGUUCAGUGGCUUACCAUGAAUUGUGUUGAAAAUACACCCCAUUGAGUCUUUAGUCUUUUGUUUAUAAGCAAAAACAAAUAGCUAGUCAACGUCUUCGCCCAGAGCAGUACAUCCACAAAUAACUGGACCAGUAAGUCCGGUAUUACAUGCUUAGUCCAGACUAGCAGACGACUGGCAGUGUCACCAGGCCCUGGUCACCCAUCAGUCUUAGUCACGAGUGGCAGCUGAACAGCGCUCACGAUGGAACUUUUUCUUUUAUUUUCUUAGAAAAUGAUAAAACUUGCUAAAAUCCUUUGCUGUUUUAGGGGGAUGGAGGUGGUAGUGGUGAAGGGAAAUAAUCCUUUUCGGUAGCAUUAGUGUCGACGAUGAAGUCCCUUGACAGGUCAUUUCAGCUUUCCGUUAGGUCGCCCAUUGUGCCGAUCUUUCUAGAAUUUUCACUUCUUCUCAUCUUCCGCAGCAGACAAAAGCCGCGCCGGUGUUCAGUGGCAAGAAACGGAGUGCAGGCAUAAUUGUUAUUUGCACAAAUCUCGCGUCCUUUCAGCGCCGCACGCGCGUGCACGACCAGUGGGGGUGAAGUAACGGGCUCCCCACACCCGCCACAGCAGCCAGGGUCACGGGCGGUACACCUGUGUCGACAGUCGGCGAUUCGCGUCCACUGGGCCUCACUCAGCGGCCAUUGCCGUCAGACGACUUUUCCACUUCUGACGCGAGUGUACCGCGGCCAUUGCUUUCUUGGGAGGGUCCGGCGGAGGUAAGCCGGUCCUGCGGGCUAAGAUCAAUGGAGUUGCUCGCCUUGGCCUCGCUCCACCAGUGCCGCGGCCUGCUUUUGUCACGUGAUUGAGUUAUUAGCCGAUCAACCAGAUGGCUCGCCGGAGAUAAAACGAUGGGAGAGGGUUUAGGGAAGUGAGGCAAAUGAGAAGACUAAACGAAUGAUCUUGAUUAUCUAGAGCUAACCCGUUUGGCCGGAAGACUGAAGACAUCUUGAUUUAUUUAUUUUGUUUGAAUAAUGAUGUAGUUUAACUGCGCUAUAUAAGCCACAUUCUUGUAUAAAUAAACUAAAUUAUUCGCCUACCCCUCAGAAAACAAGGGCUGGAGUAGGGUAGAUAGAGCCUCCGAAAUGUUAAUUAUUAUUUUAGAAUGCUCAUGUAAAAAAUAAACCCUGCUUCAAGACUUUGUCUAUAUGGUAUAUCUAGAACUUUUGAAAAGUUUAUUCGCCAAAAAACAAAAACAAACAAAAUAACAACAACAAAAAAAAACAACAACAAAACAAACCAAACAAACAAACAAAAACAAAUCAACACUCACAAGAACAGUACGUAUCUACGACUGAGAGAGAAUAUAGGAUAUUGAGGGGACACCAUCGUUAUGACUGAUGAAGUAUACCUUCAUCUUCAGCCCAGAGGUAAGUUUUUAGCGAUGGUUCACUGGCUAGAAAGUAACCGACAGGUAGACUAAAAUAUGCGAGCGGAGUGACGUACAGAUGUGCGCACAGACCACGUGACUGUACAGCAUGAAAUGGCUGACUACCUGCCUGUGGCCAUUCAUCGAAACUCGUUUUACGGGCGGAUAUGAAAGUGGCGGGCGCCGCACACACGGGUGGCUGUACGCCUGCUCAUUAGACACAUCCGGGUCCUUGCUGGUCUCCCUUGCCAGGACGUUUGCCCCGUGGCGGCGGCGAGGCCAAGGAUUAUCCCGGGUCGUAGACACCGGCCUAUGCAAAUUUCUGUCCACACCCCUUUCCCUCGGAGAAAAUUGACCUCAAAGGCGUCUCUUGCUUCUCUUGAAGUCUGCUUCCGGGCACGCAGGUGAUUGGCCAGUUUGUUAUCCGCGGCUGACACUGUCAUCGUAUUAAUGACUGGUUUCCUGUACCAAUGACAUUCUGCGUGGCAAGUUUCCUUUUUGGAUGCGGGUGUGAGUUGCUUGCCGUGACUGACGUGUCGAGGGUCGGUGGAGAGGGACAGGAAGGAUAAGUAGCGGUCCCGCCUGGAGAUCAUGAGGAUGUGCUUCCUCCUUCCUGCAGAGUGGAGACGCCUGACACACCGAGUCUCGACCCCAGUCUGACGAGUGUGGUGUUCACAGUUCACACCUGUACCAGGCUCGGUUGCUGACAAGGCUGACUGCAUCAAAUGGAGUAAUCAUCAGUUUUCUACCUGCGCCUACUGAGGAGGAGCUAAGCAAAAAUCAGUCAGGCUGUUUCUGGUGGCGCUGUCAUCCCCACACUGAAGACCGUUGUCCGGUGGUGUUAGAGUGGAAAUGGUCGUUGUGAACUCCACCUGCACAGUGAGUCCAGUGCAGGACGACUCAAACACUUGCCGAGGAAGACGCCGACAAACAGACUGGAGGAGGCGCAACCCGAGCCAGCCAACCCUCCUUGUCAGCCAUCGUAAAGACUCGGUCGUUAUUCGACUUUGUGAGAACCGACUCCUGGCUCCAUGGGAAGCGAGCGGCGAGCUGUGAGAUAGGCUUGUGGGGAGGACUGGCACCGCGGCCAUGUUAUCACCGGGAGGAUCGUGUAUAUCAAGUGCGAGCUGCGCAGUCACAGCCAACUCUUCAGUUUAACAUCGUUAGGGGUCGUGUCGCCUCAGAUGUUCUAGCGGCAGUGGAAAUGACAUGGAUGCAGGGUACAGUAGAGGGCUGACGUCGCCAUGUUCGCUGUCAACCGUUUGCCUACGUCCGCCUGUCUACCUCAAGCAUUGUGAUGUCAUCAGGAGUGCGGCGACAAAGACACGGUAAUAGUUGACGUCAUCGUGAACGUUGGAGCUGGGCAGACACGAUAAGACCAGACGUGCUUACAGAUGACGCGGCUACACAGUGCUCACUUAGGCUGUUAUAUAAACUGUGAACAUAGAGAACAGAUAUGUACAGAAAAUACUGACAAUGAUAUCGAGCAAGAACAAUACACAUCACGGUAUAUUAGAAAUAAAUUCAGAGCAAUGUUUA